AGGCUUCGGCCAACAGAGAGGACUACCUAGUGGCGGACGGGUGAGUAACGCGUGAGGAACCUGCCUUGGAGUGGGGAAUAACAGCCCGAAAGGGUUGCUAAUACCGCAUAAGCGCACGGUGUCGCAUGACACAGUGUGAAAACACUCCGGUGGUAUGAGAUGGACCCGCGUCUGAUUAGGCAGUUGGUGAGGUAACGGCUCACCAAGACCGCGAUCAGUAGCCGGACUGAGAGGUUGAACGGCCACAUUGGGACUGAGAUACGGCCCAGACUCC
rnacentral:rRNA from 1 species